rnacentral:lncRNA from 1 species
AGCUCCAAGGAGUUCCCUGGCGUGGCAGUUCUUCAGACAAUGUGCUGACGACAAGACAAGGGUGGUUUGCACGCUGUGCAAUCAGAGCCUGAAGCGAGGCACAAACAUUCUAAGCGUGAGCACAACCUGCAUGACCAGGCAUCUACAUGCAAAGCACAAGCUGCAGUGGAGUAAGCACCUCAAAAACCAAGAAAGGUCUCAGGCUCCUCCUGCUUCCUCUUCUGCUGCUGUCUCGGCCUCUUCCUCCACCUCUGGAGUCAGAGUGGCACCUGCCACCCCGCAAAUAGAGGAUGUGGCAGCAACGCCACCA